UCAAAAUAAAAAAGCAAUUUGCUGUCUUGUCAGUAGAGAAAAAAGGAGCUGAAAAUAGUAACAAAUACAUAUUUACAGAGAAACUAGGUAUACAACGUGUGAAGGCACUACUGUGUGGGUCUCAUUCUCCGAUAGUUGGACGAUUGAAAAGGGUUGGGGGACCAAUAUAUGGGUAUAGCCCACGGUUUCUUGCUACGUUCAUUGUUUUACGCUCUGGCUCAGCGACAAGAUUAAGAAAAGACAUGCAGAAAAGGAAAAAAAGACCCAACUUUUUUUGGUUGACAACAAGGAAAAAAACAAUCAGCAGCGUUCAAAUGGCGACGAGCUCAGUGGAGGGCAUGAAGAAUGUAUGGAAAUGGGAAAGCAGACAAUCCACCUCUGUGGUUGAUGGGCACUUUAUGGUUGAUGCGUACUUAUGAGCUAACCCUUGACAAUGCCGUUAUUAAUACAAGUUUUGAAAUGGAUGGGGAUUCUAUCCGAAUUCUUUUUAUGAGGAUUACGAUAAUUAUUUUAUUACGUCUGUUCAUUGUA